CUGGGGAUCUGUGGAGAAAUGGCUGAGCCAGGCCUGGAGCAGGGAAAGUAUGAGAAACUAAGAAAACAGAGUAACAGUAAUGGUUCAUCCUGACACCAUGGAGAUUUUCACGUCGGAGGGGAAGCUGCUGCUACUGCUAAGUCGCUUCAGUCGUGUCCAACUCUGUGCGACCCCAUGGACGGCAGCCCAUCAGGCUCCCCCGUCCCUGGGAUUCUCCAGGUUUGUCAUAGCUUUGACAUCCUUUGAACCAUAAAGAAGGCUGAGUGCCAAAGAGUUGAUGCUUUUGAAUUGUGGUGCUGGAGAAGACUCUUGAGAGACCCUUGGACAGUAAGGAGAUCAAACCAGUCAAUCCCAAAGGAAAUCAACCCUGAAUAUUCACUGGAAGGACUGAUGCUGAAGUUGAAGCUCCAAUACUUUGGCCACCUGUUGCAAACAGCUGACUCAUUGGAAAAGACCCUGAUGCUGAGAAAGAUUGAAGGCAAAAGGAGGAGGGGGGCAUCAGAGGAUGAGAUGGUUAGAUAGCAUCACUGACUCAAUGGACAUGAAUCUGAACAAACUCUGGGAGAUAGAGAAGGACAGGUGAGUCUGGCAUGCUGUAUUCCAUGUGGUCGCAAACAGUUGGACACAACUUAGUGACUGAACAACAGCAACUAAUGUUUGAUUCUUUUACACUUCAAGUCAUCAAGUAACUUGAAUAUAUUAAGAUAAAUCCCAUAUGCUCUUUUCCUCCAAGAUACAUUCCAGAUAGUUUCCUAGAUAACCUUUCCAUUCAGUCAGUUCCCUGUCUUAAA
ensembl:lncRNA